CCUACGGGAGGCUGCAGUGGGGAAUAUUGGACAAUGGUGGGAACCCUGAUCCAGCCAUGCCGCGUGUGUGAAGAAGGCCCUCGGGUUGUAAAGCACUUUCAGUGAGGAAGAACGCCUGGUGGUUAAUACCCAUCAGGAAAGACAUCACUCACAGAAGAAGCACCGGCUAACUCCGUGCCAGCAGCCGCGGUAAUACGGAGGGUGCGAGCGUUAAUCGGAAUUACUGGGCGUAAAGCGCGCGUAGGUGGCUUGAUAAGCCGGUUGUGAAAGCCCCGGGCUCAACCUGGGAACGGCAUCCGGAACUGUCAAGCUAGAGUGCAGGCGAGGAAGGUAGAAUUCCCGGUGUAGCGGUGAAAUGCGUAGAGAUCGGGAGGAAUACCAGUGGCGAAGGCGGCCUUCUGGACUGACACUGACACUGAGGUGCGAAAGCGUGGGUAGCAAACAGGAUUAGAUACCCGAGUAGUC
rnacentral:rRNA from 1 species